GGCCAGGUAGCUCAGUUGGUAGAGCACGUGACUGAAAAUCACGGUGUCGGCGGUUCGAUUCCGUCCCUGGCCAUCA
rnacentral:tRNA from 1 species